AGGCUUUGAUCCUGGCUCAGGAUGAACGCUGGCGGCGUGCUUAACACAUGCAAGUCGAACGAACCUUCGGGUUAGUGGCGGACGGGUGAGUAACGCGUGAGAAUCUGCCCUCAGGAGGGGGAUAACGGCUGGAAACGGCCGCUAAUACCCCAUAUGCCGAGAGGUGAGAUGAGUUAUCGCGUGAGGAUGAGCUCGCGUCUGAUUAGCUAGUUGGUGGGGUAAGAGCUACCAAGGCAUCGAUCAGUAGCUGGUCUGAGAGGAUGAUCAGCCACACUGGGACUGAGACACGGCCCAGACUCUACGGGAGGCAGCAGUGGGGAAUUUUCCGCAAUGGGCGAAAGCCUGACGGAGCAACGCCGCGUGAGGGAUGAAGGCCUCUGGGCUGUAAACCUCUUUUAUCAAGGAAGAAGAUCUGACGGUACUUGAUGAAUAAGCCACGGCUAUAUCCG
rnacentral:rRNA from 1 species